CUUGCCUAAUAACAACAUUCUAAUAAUCUGAAAUUUAUAAAGUCCCAAAAUCUCAGCAAACCGGAAUCUGAUUUCUCAAUUCUCGCUUCACCGUGUCUCAAGAACUCGCCACCGGCGUUAUCGCCCAUAAUCUGAAGAAACGGAAACAGAGAAGGGUGUAGAUUUAGGGUACUACACCGUAGACAACUCCGGUUAGUGGUGGACCUGUUCUUUUAAAUCAGAAGAAGAAUCAGAGACAAUGACAAGGGAUUGCGCUCUAGAAACUUCCUCAGGUUAGGAUCAAAAAGGUCGGAAAAGUUAGUCCAGCCUUUGGACUUGAUUUGGUUGCAGGCCUCGGUUUCAGCGCUGGUCUUAUUAGAGAAUUUUGAGCUGGUUGUUGAAUUGGUGUAUGCUUUGGCUAUGGUACGUUGGAAGAGGAGCUGCUUAUGAUCAUUCUCGUUCUUAUUAUAACGUUGGGGAGCCAUCUCUAUCGGUUGCUGUAUGGAGACUAUGUGGGCUGAUUUGUUACUAAAUUUUCUGGUGAUUUGAACGGACACGUCAUUGUUUUGUGGGUUUAAGAUAUGGAUUUGGUUACUGGCCAAAACAUGUUCUUGUUAGAUACACAUGGAAUAUAUUCACUUGAAUGAAAAAGCUGAUGUGUUAUGCUUAUGAGAUCAAAAUGUUUGGAUCGGUUGGUAUGUCGUCGUCUCUAUAUUUAUUUCAUCUUAGUUAGACGACAACUUGCAGCAGUUUCAACGAACUACAAGUCUACAAUGCGUUGAAUGCCAUAUGAGUGUUUUUUUUUCCACAGAUUUCUGCUAAUUCUAUAUGCCUUAGUUUUGGUGUAUUCUUAGAGCAUGGGCAUUGGUGUACACUUGGUUUUGGUCCCCCAAGUUUAAUAAUAUUAUUAUGAGAGUUUCUUAUUUUUAGUA